AUGUGAGAAACCUUAUCGAGUAAGCUUUGCCUCGAUAGAUGUAUUAUGAAGCUACUGAACUGAUUAGCCUGUUGGCGGGCGAAUCACGGAGGGAAUGACCAAAACACCGACUGUGAUGGAAGAAGCCCAGGGGAUAGGUUUUCGGACGCGGGUUCAAUUCCCGCCAGGUCCAUCC
rnacentral:tmRNA from 1 species